AUACGUAGGGGGCGAGCGUUGUCCGGAAUGAUUGGGCGUAAAGGGCGCGUAGGCGGCCCGGUAAGUCUGGAGUGAAAGUCCUGCUUUUAAGGUGGGAAUUGCUUUGGAUACUGUCGGGCUUGAGUGCAGGAGAGGUAAGUGGAAUUCCCAGUGUAGCGGUGAAAUGCGUAGAGAUUGGGAGGAACACCAGUGGCGAAGGCGACUUACUGGACUGUAACUGACGCUGAGGCGCGAAAGUGUGGGGAGCAAACAGGAUUAGAUACCCUGGUAGUCCACACUGUAAACGAUGAAUGCUAGGUGUAGGGGGUAUCGACCCCUCCUGUGCCGCAGUUAACACAAUAAGCAUUCCGCCUGGGGAGUACGGCCGCAAGGUUGAAACUCAAAUGAAUUGACGGGG
rnacentral:rRNA from 1 species